rnacentral:rRNA from 1 species
CCGCAACGAGCGCAACCCUUGUCCUCUGUUGCCAUCAGGUUAUGCUGGGCACUCUGAGGAGACUGCCGGUGAUAAACCGGAGGAAGGUGGGGAUGACGUCAAGUCAGCAUGGCCUUUAUGUCUGGGGCUACACACGUGCUACAAUGGCCGGUACAAACCGUCGCGAUACCGCAAGGUGGAGCUAAUCGGAGAAAGCCGGUCUCAGUUCGGAUUGC